AGUGAACGCUGGCGGUAGGCCUAACACAUGCAAGUCGAACGGCAGCACAGUAAGAGCUUGUUCUUACGGGUGGCGAGUGGCGGAUGGGUGAGGAAUACAUCGGAAUUUACUUUUUCGUGGGGGAUAACGUAGGGAAACUUACGCUAAUACUGCAUACGACCUACGGGUGAAAGCAGGGGAUCUUCGGACCUUGCGCGAUUGAAUGAGCCGAUGUCGGAUUAGCUAGUUGGCGGGGUAAAGGCCCACCAAGGCGACGAUCCGUAGCUGGUCUGAGAGGAUGAUCAGCCACACUGGAACUGAGACACGGUCCAGACUCCUACGGGAGGCAGCAGUGGGGAAUAUUGGACAAAGGGCGCAAGCCUGAUCCAGCCAUACCGCGUGGGUGAAGAAGGCCUUCGGGUUGUAAAGCCCUUUUGUUGGGAAAGAAAAGCAGCAGGUUAAUACCCCGCUGUUCUGACGUUACCCAAAGAAUAAGCACCGGCUAACUUCGUG
rnacentral:rRNA from 1 species